AUUCCGGUUGAUCCUGCCGGAGACUACCGCUAUCGGAGUCCGAUUUAGCCAUGCUAGUCCACCGAACCUUUGGUUCGGGGCGGAAAGCUGAGUAACACGUGGCCAACCUACCCUGUGGACAGGAAUAACCUCGGGAAACUGAGGAUAAUGCCUGAUAGCAGAACCAUGCUGGAAACGCAGGUUCUGUGAAAUGACACGUCGCCACAGGAUGGGGCCGCGGCUGAUUAGGUUGUCGGUGAGGUAACGGCUCACCGAGCCCGUAAUCAGUAGCAGCCGUGGGAGCGGUAGCUGCCAGUCGUGUUCUGAGACAAGAACACGGGCCCUACGGGGCGCAGCAGGCACGAAACCUUUACAAUGCACGCGAGUGCGAUAGGGGGACUCCGAGUGCGUUCUUCCCACAAGGAAGGACGCUUUUCUGCACUGUAAGGAGGUGCAGGAACAAGGGGUGGGCAAGACUGCUGCCAGCCGCCGCGGUAAUAGCAGCACCCCGAGUGGUAGUCGUUAUUAUUGGGCUUAAAGUGUACGUAGCCGGACCUGUAAGUCUGUUGUGAAAUCCACGCGCUUAACGCAGUGGAAGCGCAACGGAUACUACAGGUCUAGGGACCGGAGGACGCCGAGGCUAUUCCAUGGGUAGGAGUGAAAUCCUAAGAUCCAUGGAGGAGCACCAGUGGCGAAAGCGCUCGGCGACUACGGAUCCGACGGUGAGGUACGAAAGCCAGGGGAGCAAAACGGAUUAGAUACCCGUGUAGUCCUGGCCGUCAACAUUGUCCGCUCGACAUGGCCCAACCUUUGUGGUUUGGCUGUGUCCAAGUGAAAACGUUAAGCGGACCGCCUGGGUAGUACGGUCGCAAGGCUGAAACUUAAAGGAAUUGACGGGGGAGCACCACAACCGGUGGGGGCUGCGGUUUAAUUAGAUCAAACGCAGCGCACCCUACCAGAGCCGACAGCAGAAUGACGGUCAGCUUGAAGAGCUUACCCGACGCGCUGAGAGGAGCUGCAUGGCCGCCGUCAGCUCGUGCCGCGAGGUGUCCGGUUAAGUCCGGUAACGAGCGAGACCCGUACCCUAUGUUGCCACGGAGACACUAGCUGUCUUCGGCACUCGUGGGGGACCGCUGGCGAUAAGCCAGAGGAAGGAGCGGGCCACGGUAGGUCAGUAUGGCCCGAAUGCUCUGGGAUACACGCGGCCCACAAUGGCCGGUACAAACAGAAGCCACCCCGAGAGGGGAAGCUAAUCUGCCAAAACCGGUCCCAGUCCGGAUCGAGGCCUGCAACUCGGCCUCGUGAAGUCGAAAUCGGUAGUAGUCGCUGGUCAUCAUCUAGCGGCGAAUAAGUCCCUGCUCCUUGUACACACCGCCUGUCAAGUCACCCAAGUCAGGUUCAGACGAGCCUCCCACCUAGUGGGAAGCAAGUCUGAGCUUGGCAAGGGGGGCUAAGUCAUAGCAAACAGUUGUGACCCCGAACCGGAAGGUUUGAGGAAAAAUCUGGCU
rnacentral:rRNA from 23 species